GAUUUUUAACCUUGUCUUGUUAAAUAGAUGAAAAAUGAUCACAUGAAUGAAGCAAAUGUCUAAAGUGCCCAUUCAUCAACCUCAUUUAAAGAAAAUCGUAUUUACCUUCUAAACAAAAGGAUAUUAUUACUGUCAAUCUCAAUUCUCACGAAUACAGGAAUAUGCAGCCCCUCUUUCUUCUGCAAAUAUGAAUCCAAGACUUGCAGCCAUUACUCUUGAAUCCAAACACUAAUUGAAGAGAAACUCAUCGAAAUGAAAGAACUGGAGUACUAUGCUAGCUCAAUGGAAUAAUCUUUGCAUGAGGACCUAAGUCUUCAAUUUUAAUUUGCAGGGUACAGAGAAUACAAGUUGUUUAUAAAAAUAUGCCCUAAUACCCUAGUUUUAUUUCUCUAUAAGUAUCCAUCAAGGCCAUAACGAACUUGAGGUUUUUAGAUUAUUUUUCAUUAUUUUGUCGAAAUUCUUGACCAAUAUUUUGGAUCUUAUGUGACACGACCCACCCCGAAUUUCACCCUGAAACCCAGAGUAAGUCGUGCGGGGACCACCUCCAAGGAAAAUUUACUGAAAAGAUUAAGAAAAUCUCCCUUGCAGAUGGACAACCCUAACUCGAAAAUUUCAUAUUACACUCUUAAUUUAAUGCUUCUGAAUAUCUCAUAAUAUACAAAAUUCUAAAGUAUUCAGAGCUACUAAACACAAGCGGAAGCAAGAAAACACAAGUAGGUUGAACAGGUAACCUACUGAUGAAAACUGGCCGAAAAGCGGGUGACUAUGCCUCGUCUCCUACUAGAUCCAACCCGAACUCUGCAGACUGGGCAAUUUAAAACGAAGGGCCCAGGGGAAAACAUUUAAUAACGUUAGAGUGAGUGGACAAAAAUAAAUUAAUAAUUAAAAAUAUUUAAUGUUUCCCCAAAUUAAUUUCUAAGGAAAAUCGAAUGCAUGCCGCAAGCGAUAAAACCUUUAUCCCAUAAAAUAUCGAGCCUCUCAGACUCUAUAAUAUAUGUAUGUAUUUACACUCGUCCAUACUCCCUAUAUAAAUUCAUGGNNNNNNNNNNNNNNNNNNNNAAAACCUAUGAAAUUUUAACAGCAUCUUCCUCUCAUCAAGCUCUACAACUUUCAUAACUAGCACAAACACCAAUUCCAAGCCUAACUAGGGCAAUCGACUAAAAACAUCAAAAACACCAUAAAACUUCCACCUCAAAUUUCUCCUUACCUAGCUCAAGAGGGAGUGAGUCCUUUUAGGGCAAGGUUGCUGGGUUGGAGGGCUACAAAACCAUACCAAGCUUGCCCGGAUUGGUGGCCGGAGGAGGAAGUUCCGGCGAAGGAGAGCUACGGCAGUCGGACCUUUCGGGCGGCACCGCUCACUCACGGCGGCGCUAGGGGGGCUGCUACCGGUCUAGAAAUGUUGCUGGGAGGGAGACCGAUCGAUUGGGACCGGUGUGGCGGUCUGGGGCGGCCGGACGGCGGCGGACGGCGGUGGAGAACUUUCCGGGUGGAGAAAGGAGAAAACCGGGUGGGAAGAGAAGAAAAAUCGGGAGGGAGAGAGAGAGAAAGGAAGAAGAAAUGGGUUGGGCUCGGCCCAGCCGACCCAACUCUCCUUUUAACCCAAAAUUCCAAAAUUCAACACCCCGAAAAAUAAUACCCGAAUAAAAAUUACCUUUUACUAGCUAAAAUUUACUCUUUUUACCGUCGUCGUAUUUUCUUCAUACUAAUAAUCCUCCGCACAUAAUCGUCCCCGAAACCCCUCUAGGGACCAAUUAAACUAUUUACUCAAUGAUCGAGACGGUAAAAUUCUUAUUAUAAUCACGCUAGUAAAUAAGGUAAAAAUAUAAGGGUCGGGAUGUGACAUUAUGUGAAAAUAGGUUUGAUCUUUAACUUCUGCAAGCCUUAUUUUGUUUGCGGUAGUUUGAUAAAAAGAGAUCUCUUGGUACUUGCACAACUAUCUAACAACGCAAAAGAGAUGAGAUCUCUAUGAGGGUUGCAAUCCGAACGUAAUAUUGGCCUCUCCGUUUCAUUAUGGUGUUGAUGACUCUAAAAGUAACUAGCUCGAUGCACUCAUGAAUUCAACAAUAGAUUUGUUCUUCUUAUGCCAUAUUUCUCAAAUAGAGUCAUGUUUCUCAACUUGUUAUCCACAAUAAAAUACAAUAUUUGAAAAAAAAGAUGAGUCGUAUGAGAUAAAGAAAGAUGAUCAUGAGCUCCAUGAAAGGAGAAGAGAAGUGUAUCUUCUGUUGUAUCAAACACUUGAAAUAAAAAUAUGAAAAAAAUAAUAAAAAGAAGAGUCUUCGUUGGUGAAGGAUCGAAUAAGAAUAUAAUUAAGGAGUUUUGGUACAAGAAUUAUACAGUAAAGCAAUUGCAAAGAAGAAUGAUGACAAGGACAAUUAUGACUAUUCAUCACUUAAGAUGGUCAAUUUUCAUUAGUUUGAGAAAACUUAGUUAAAAAUCAUUUUGAGUCCUUAAAAGAGGUCAUUUUUCAAAAUUACUCCAUAUAUAUACUCCCUGCUCUUCACAUCAUGAUGGCGUAGAGGGUACCGAGCUUCAGUGAUAUCGCCGGUAACAUCACAUCAUGGUGGAUAAGGCUUGAGUGACUCCAAUGCAAACGUAGAAGUCUCAUCGUCUCGAAAGACUAAACAACAUGUUAGCAUCAAUAAUGAACGAUCGAUCUAACAAUUCAAGUAUGACAUAAGAUAAUACACAUAAAAUCAUUUGUGUUUCCCCGAAACUCAUAAAUCAAGCAUAAGUAUUUUUCCCAACCGUACUCGAAAAAUUUCAAAAGAAAAGAAAUAAAAUAAAUUUAAUUACUUGUCUCACACGCUAAAAUGUUCAACAAAAUAAAUAACUCAAAUAAUUAUCUUGUUCCGAAAACUAGACAAUACCAAAUCCUUAAUAAAGUGAUCUCAAUUCAAAAACUAGACAAUACCAAAUCCUUACUAAAGCAAUCUCAAAUCCGGAAAUCAUAAAGAAUAUCAUCACUCAAAUACCAAAUUAAUAACCGAAGAUCAAAUCCAUAAAUCAUGACAAAAAAUUAAUCAAAGCAACAAACUCAAAUAAAUUUCAAAAACCAAUUCAAAACUCGAAAUUAUAAUAUGAGCUCGGAAAAUUAAACGAUAACUUAAAUCAUGCAUGCAUAUUUAUUAAAAACUUAAGUGUCCACUCAUAGUGAUUCGGUAGUGUUAGCUAUCAAGCUGAGACUUCCUAAGUCAAAAAAUUGAUAAUUUUUAAUUUGAUACUAUACUAUCUUUAAUUUAAUACCCAACUAUUAAAUUCCAUCAGUUUACUACUUGAUAACAAAACUGGAAAGACGUAAACAAACAACAUCUGGCCUUCAAGGAGCAUAUACAACCAACUACGAAUGUUGGAUCUGAAACCUAUUUGGCACUGCCACUGCCAUUACCAUAUUAACAACGAGAACUAGGGACAUCACUUUUCAAGCACUCAUACUCAUCCUAGAAUGAGAAAAACAUUUUUAGGUUAAAUCCAUUAACAUGAAAGCCAAAAGCUAACCAGAGUAAAAAACCGAAACCCUAAAGCUCUCUCUCUCUCUCUAUCUCUCCUCUCUCUAAGUCGGCAGCCAACCACAAAAUCUCACCCUCAUCCGGUGACGGUCUAAAGAUAGGCGGGUCUCUAGAUCUACUAAAGCCAUAUGACUUUGUUGCCGGAUGAAGGAUAUGUCAGCAACCAAAUGCUUUUAGAGGUAAUUGGCCAAAGGUUCUUAACAACUUUUGAUCAGCGUGGCUUUUCAGAUUAGGUUAAAGGUAUGGCACCAUGGACUCGAGGAGCAUAUCUGGUUUCAUCUUCCGGAUUCCAUCUUCGUCCUUGUUUGGGAGGAGUUUUUGGUUUGGUGGAGAUGUAGUUUGGUCUCUAAGUUCGUGGCGACGAUGAAGUUUCUUCUCCCCGGGAUGUGCUUGUGGCUGCGCGGAACAAGGCGGCGAUGUCUCACGAAGGCAACUUCAUCUCACGGCGGCGACAGCGACGGGGUGUUCUUCUUCCAUGUCCUUCCUGCAACUGUGAAGGAAAGUUGGGCUAGGUCAAUUGUUUUGGGUUUAGGUUUAAUUUCUUUUUGGGCUUUGGACUGCUUUUUUAGUUUAUAGUUUUCUAUCACAAUAAGUUCUUUUCAUUAGGACUCUAAGCACUUUUUAAUGCCUUAUAGGUAUUAGCGUUAUGAGUCUAUUUUUCUAUUAGUCUUUUUCUAGUCUUCUAGGUGGGAUCUUAGCUUAUAAUCUAUUUUCUAUUAGAUUGUAGGCUCACUUGUGAGCCAAAAUGUAAAUGAGGAUACAACCCUCAUACGAAUCUUAUGAUCUUGCUUGUCCUCUGUACGCAUGACAACUGAUCGAUUUGUAUUGUGUCAUCUACUUUAAUACUAAUGACAAAUUGUCUUUGAGUUAAAAAAUAAAAAAUAAAAAAAUAACCAGAGUAGCACAUACACACACCAAAAAUUGAGCUGCUAGCAGGCGCGGCCCAAGGGCUGUGCCCAGUGGGCAACCGAUCGAAGGCCUUAAAAAAAAUUCACCCAAAUACUGUUUAAAUUAAACAAAAGGUCAUAUAUUAAAAAUUGAGUAUGUAGUUUGUGUUUAUGAUCGAUGAAUACCUAGAAGGAGGAAAAUGAGUCGAAUGGAUGCAGAUUCGUUCGAGAAGGGAUUUGUCCGGGUUUGAGAUUUGGGAGAUUGACCUGCAAGAGAACAAUGAGAUUACAGAGGCGCCCGAAUCCACUAUGACGCUCAAGUUAGUCAUUUGCGGACAAUGGGAAUGAAAAGUGGAGAAUGGAAAAGUUGCCCGUAUUUUUAAGCGCUGAGGCGGGGGGUGGGGUUUGCACUGAUUUGAGGAUGCCAGCUGUAGACAACUGUCCCCGCACUCUUUUGAAGGAGGCUUAAAGUGCGUGCUCCGAACUGAGCCGUACCCGUGCGUCCACGUGUACGGUCGGGAGGCGUAUGACGCUAAGCUGACAGGAUAAGACGCAUGCACAAGACUUAGUUAGAGCGCUUGGAGUGGUUCCCACCAACAGUUCGGUUGGUUAAGGUUUUGGCUCUGUGAACUUAUGACCCAAGUUCGAGUCUUAGCACUCUCACUAUUUAUCCUCGAUUUUUUGUGCUUUUUUUUUCCUUUUUUUUUUGCAAGUUUUUUGCCUUUUCCUUUUCCUUUUUAUUUGUUUUUUUUUUUUUCAAGUUUUCUUCUUUUCUUACAUAUAAGGGAUCCUACGCGACUUCUGCUCUCCUUAUUCCCUUUGUUAUGUUCUUCUUUAUUCCCUCAGUUAUAUUCUUCCUUCUUCUGACAGACAAAAAAAAACCCUUACUUUGGCUAUUUAAAGAUUAUGUUCAACAAUUGCAUUAGCUGUAU
rnacentral:lncRNA from 1 species